rnacentral:rRNA from 1 species
UACGGAAGGCAGCAGUGGGGAAUAUUGCACAAUGGGCGCAGGCCUGAUGCAGCCAUGCCGCGUGUAUGAAGAAGGCCUUCGGGUUGUAAAGUACUUUCAGUCGUGAGGAAGGUGUUAAGGUUAAUAACCUUAGCAAUUGACGUUAGCGACAGAAGAAGCACCGGCUAACUCCGUGCCAGCAGCCGCGGUAAUACGGAGGGUGCGAGCGUUAAUCGGAAUUACUGGGCGUAAAGGGCACGCAGGCGGUUAAUUAAGUUGGAUGUGAAAUCCCCGGGCUUAACCUGGGAAUGGCAUUCAAGACUGGUUAGCUAGAGUCUUGUAGAGGGGGUAGAAUUCCGAUGUGUAGCGGUGAAAUGCGUAGAGAUGUGGAGGAAUACCGGUGGCGAAGGCGGCCCCUGGACAAAGACUGACGCUCAUGUGCGAAAGCGUGGGGA